AAACAACAUGACAAAGUCCUCAAAGCCACAGAAACUGAAAAGGAGAAAAAAGAGAAAAUAACCAAAAUUGAGAUAAAGCCAAAAGAAGAAAAGCCAAAGAAGGCCAAACCUGAGGAAAAACCCAUUGAGAAGAUACCAGAGAAGCCCAAAGAAGAAGCCCAUAAGAAGAAAGAACCUAAGCCUUCUAAAGAGGAACAAAAAGCGACAAAACCCACCAAAGAGGAGAA